rnacentral:rRNA from 1 species
GUUGGUGGCAAGCGUUGUCCGGAAUUAUUGGGCGUAAAGCGCGCGCAGGCGGUCCUUUAAGUCUGAUGUGAAAGCCCACGGCUCAACCGUGGAGGGUCAUUGGAAACUGGGGGACUUGAGUACAGAAGAGGAAAGCGGAAUUCCAAGUGUAGCGGUGAAAUGCGUAGAGAUUUGGAGGAACACCAGUGGCGAAGGCGGCUUUCUGGUCUGUAACUGACGCUGAGGCGCGAAAGCGUGGGGAGCAAACAGGGAUUAGAUACCCUGGUAGUCCACGCCGUAAACGAUGAGUGCUAAGUGUUAGGGGGGUUUCCCGCCCCUCAGUGCUGCAGCUAACGCAUUAAGCACUCCGCCUGGGGAUACGGCCGCAAGGCUG